rnacentral:tRNA from 1 species
GGGCCUAUAGCAUAGUGGUAGUGCACUCGGUUUGCAUCCGAGGGGUGGCGGUCCGAUUCCGCCUAGGUCCACCA